AUUGAACGCUGGCGGCAGGCCUAACACAUGCAAGUCGGACGGUAGCACAGGGGAGCUUGCUCCUCGGGUGACGAGUGGCGGACGGGUGAGUAAUGUCUGGGGAUCUGCCCGAUAGAGGGGGAUAACCACUGGAAACGGUGGCUAAUACCGCAUAAUGUCGCAAGACCAAAGAGGGGGACCUUCGGGCCUCCCACUACCGGAUGUGCCCAGAUGGGAUUAGAUAGUAGGUGGGGUAAUGGCUCACCUAGGCGACGAUCCCUAGCUGGUCUGAGAGGAUGACCAGCCACACUGGAACUGAGACACGGUCCAGACUCCUACGGGAGGCAGCAGUGGGGAAUAUUGCACAAUGGGCGCAAGCCUGAUGCAGCCAUGCCGCGUGUAUGAAGAAGGCCUUCGGGUUGUAAAGUACUUUCAGCGGGGAGGAAGGCGGUGAGGUUAAUAACCUCGCCGAUUGACGUUACCCGCAGAAGAAGCACCGGCUAACUCCGUGCCAGCCGCCGCCGUAA
rnacentral:rRNA from 1 species